rnacentral:lncRNA from 1 species
GAGGAGGCAGCAGCCCUCCUGGGCUGCACAGAUGUAGCUGUGUGUAUCAGCCAGCAGCCCUAAGGGAACAGAGGUAUCCUGCAGAAGGCAGAAUCUGCUGGGGGGGGUCUGCCUAUGUGAGGGGGCGAUGCCAAGACUGGCGUGGAAAAGCUCCAGCAGCAUCAGGUCCCAGAUGCCUUUCGGUUCUGCUGGGUCAGCUACUUUGCUCAGCGAGCUAGAAAGCAAUCUCUUCAUUAAUUGGGCAACUGAAGGUAUCUGAGCUUUGCUAAAAUCUCAACAAACCGGUAGAUAUUCUACAAAAGAAUCUACUUGGCAUGCUGAUUUGCAUUCUUCAAAGUCAAUGUAGUCAGUAUCCUGGACUGGCGAAGUCUUUUCCUGUUUCCAUGAUGGGACUCCUGGGGACAUUCCAUUUCUUUGAGGUUCAUUGUUUCGGCAGUCUGAUUGAGUGACACAAGUGUCUUUUAGAGUAUCUUCAUUUCUGGCAGGCAGGAUACAGGCCAAUAAUAUAAAAUAAAUCCAUCUACAAUUUUAAGAG